GAAAAGUCAUGACGCAUUUUUACACAGAAAAAAAAUGCGUCGUGAUUUUUCUGACA
rnacentral:pre_miRNA from 1 species